AUUGAACGCUGGCGGCAUGCCUUACACAUGCAAGUCGAACGGUAACGGGCCUUCGGGUGCCGACGAGUGGCGCACGGGUGAGUAAUACAUCGGAACGUGCCCGAUCGUGGGGGAUAACGAGGCGAAAGCUUUGCUAAUACCGCAUACGAUCUACGGAUGAAAGCAGGGGACCGCAAGGCCUUGCGCGGACGGAGCGGCCGAUGGCAGAUUAGGUAGUUGGUGGGAUAAAAGCUUACCAAGCCGACGAUCUGUAGCUGGUCUGAGAGGAUGAUCAGCCACACUGGGACUGAGACACGGCCCAGACUCCUACGGGAGGCAGCAGUGGGGAAUUUUGGACAAAGGGCGCAAGCCUGAUCCAGCCAUGCCGCGUGCAGGAUGAAGGCCUUCGGGUUGUAAACUGCUUUUGUACGGAACGAAAAGCCUUCUUUUAAUACAGGAGGGUCAUGACGGUACCGUAAGAAUAAGCACCGGCUAACUACGUG
rnacentral:rRNA from 1 species